rnacentral:rRNA from 1 species
AUACGGAGGAUCCGAGCGUUAUCCGGAUUUAUUGGGUUUAAAGGGAGCGUAGGCGGACGCUUAAGUCAGUUGUGAAAGUUUGCGGCUCAACCGUAAAAUUGCAGUUGAUACUGGGUGUCUUGAGUACAGUACAGGUGGGCGGAAUUCGUGGUGUAGCGGUGGAAUGCUUAGAUAUCACGAAGAACUCCGAUCGCGAAGGCAGCUCACCGGGCCGGAACUGACACUGAUGCUCGAAAGUGCGGGUAUCAAACAGGAUUAGAUACCCUGGUAGUCCGCACAGUAAACGAUGAAUACUCGCUGUUUGCGAUACACGGUAAGCGGCCAAGCGAAAGCGUUAAGUAUUCCACCUGGGGAGUACGCCGGCAACGGUGAAACUCAAAUGAAUUGGCGGGG